rnacentral:rRNA from 1 species
UGAGGAACAUGUCUUUCGGUGGGGGAUAGCCGGCCCAACGGCCGGGUUAUACCGCAUACGCUGCUCGGAGCUCCUGCUCUGAGUCGGAAAGCAGCAAUGCGCCGAUUGAGUGCCUCGCGGCCUAUCAGCUAGUUGGUGAGGUAAUGGCUCACCAAGGCGACGACGGGUAGCCGGCCUGAGAGGGCGAUCGGCCACACUGGGACUGAGACACGGCCCANACUCCG